AAGACUCUGCUUGACUAGCUGAGAGGAGGUGUAUGGCCGUCGUCAGUUCGUACUGUGAAGCAUCCUGUUAAGUCAGGCAACGAGCGAGACCCACGCCAACAGUUGCCAGCAUGUCCUCCGGGAUGAUGGGGACACUGUUGGGACCGCCUCUGCUAAAGAGGAGGAAGGAAUGGGCAACGGUAGGUCAGCAUGCCCCGAAUUAUCCGGGCUACACGCGGGCUACAAUGGUCAGGACAAUGGGUAUCGACACCGAGAGGUGGAGGCAAUCUCCUAAACCUGUCCUUAGUUCGGAUUGUGGGCUGCAACUCGCCCACAUGAAGCUGGAAUCCGUAGUAAUCGCGUUUCAAAAUAGCGCGGUGAAUAUGUCCCUGCUCCUU
rnacentral:rRNA from 1 species